UGUUAAAAGUUUCAUCCAUAUAUAUUGUUAAAAACUGUCGUAGUUGACAGAAUAAUCCGAUAGUGACAUGUGAUAUGUUGUGUGUACUUCAUAUUGACAUAUAUAAGCCAAACUUUAACAACAGAAAUGGAUGAAUAUUUGAAUA
rfam:Gossypium arboreum cultivar AKA8401 contig_23104_3, whole genome shotgun sequence.